UGGAGGUGUAGAGCUCAUUUACAUAUCAGGACCACUGAGUCCAUCACCACGACGGAUUAUCGAGGGCCCCUCAGAGAUGAGUUUUAUCUUCAUGAAAAGAGACUUUUUUUGACUUCACGACGUCUUUGGCUGACUUCGGACGGUUGCAGCUGUUCUUAGCUGCUGUGCGGCUGCCGGCAGAGUCCGCUGCUUUCAUCUUUACUUGAUCCUGUUUUCCUGCGACACCGUUAAUUUCAGGUGUCCUCAUGUACCUGUCUGGGGUGAGCAGUCCUGAGGUGGCCAUGCGUUUUGCCAGAGUGACGGCACGGUUGUAACACCGGUCCAACUCCUCCAGGAUGAAGCUGAGGUCCGACUGCAGGAGGGGUGCCGCAGAAAAUCUCCAGAACAACGCCGGGGUGUACAUCAGCACCGACACCAGCAACAGAAUGUAGGGAAAGAACUGGAGAAAAGAGGCAGGAUGCCACAGAGGUAGAGUGUGUGUAUGUACAGACGCCCAGCAGAACGAGUCCACGUAAGCAGCUUGCCUCCAGGAGAAGUUAGAAGGAGCAAAACAGCUGAUCUGAGUACCUGAGAGAAACAUAGAGGCAGAAAACAACACACAGAAACAUGAGAGUUCACGUGAUGACGAAUCCGAGAAGGACACGUCAUGACUGAUACGACCCAAUCAAGAAGUGAACGUGGACAUCUGCGUCAUCGUUUUUAAAAGGUCUCCGUUUCUGUCCAUCCAGACUAAAACUCAACCCCGGAGUUUUAAAACUAAAACGGGGUCAGCAGCGUUUUCAAAUGUCUACGUGUUAGGGGCUCAAUGUAGCAAAAGUUAUGAAUUUUAAAAUGAAAACGUAUUAGUGUGGAUGUGGCCUUAUGUCUUCAUAAUGUCUCUUGAGUGUGUGCUGCUCUGUUUCCAUUAACAUUGCAGAUCUCUCUCUAAUUCCCCACCUCAUAGUGAUUUGGUGUGAUCUGUGCUUGACAUCUCAGGUCUGUGGUUUAAUCUAGAGCGCAUGCAGCUGACCUGACUAACAUGAUUAGGCUUCAGUUAGCCUUUCUGUUAACCCUCCGGACUAGACUGGAUCUGGUCUCUUGUGGUCUUGACUCCAGCCCUGGCCCCCCAAACUCACCUACU